UCCUGGUUUCCCAGGCAGUCCCAUCAGAGUGCCUCCGAAGAGUAGCAACUGAUAGCAAGGGUUGCGCUCGUUAUAGGACUUAACCCAACAUCUCACGACACGAGCUGACGACAGCCAUGCAGCACCUGUGUAUAUGUCCAAGGCGAACCCUGGAAAAUCGCGUUUCUGCGACGGUCAUAUACAUGUCAAACCUAGGUAAGGUUCCUCGCGUAGUGUCGAAUUAAACCACAUGUUCCACCGCUUGUGCGGACCCCCGUCAAUUCCUUUGAGUUUUAAUCUUGCGACCGUAAUCCCCAGGCGGAUCACUUAUCGCGUUAGCUACGACACCAAUCUCGCAAAGCGAGACUGACGUCUAGUGAUCAUCGUUUACGGCGUGGACUAC
rnacentral:misc_RNA from 1 species